rnacentral:pre_miRNA from 1 species
UCUUAGGGGUGAGCAAAAAAAGCGGUUUCUUGAAAUGGAAUCUACUCCUGGUGAAGAUGCCAUGAGCA